UACGUAGGAGGCGAACGUUAUUCGGAUUUACUGGGCGUAAAGGGAGCGUAGGCGGUUCCUCAAGUCGAAUGUGAAAUCUUCUGCCUCAAUCGGAAGGCGCCAUUUGAUACUGGGGGACUUGAGAGCAGCAGAGGGAAAUGGAAUCUCCAGUGUAGCGGUGAAAUGCGUAGAUAUUGGAGAGAACACCAGUGGCGAAAGCGAUUUCCCAGGCUGCUUCUGACGCUGAGGUUCGAAAGCGUGGGGAGCGAAGCGGAUUAGAUACCCGCGUAGUCCACGCCCUAAACGGUGGACACUAGAUAUAGGAGGUAUCGACCCUUUCUGUGUCGAAGCUAACGCUUUAAGUGUCCCGCCUGGGGAGUACGGCCGCAAGGCUGAAACUCAAAGGAAUUGACGGGGGUCCGCACAAGCAGCGGAGCGUGUGGUUUAAUUCGAUGCUACACGAAGAACCUUACCAGGACUUGACAUGUCAGAAGUAGGAUUCCGAAAGGAGGACGACCUGUAUCCAGUCAGGAGCUGUCACAGGUGCUGCAUGGCUGUCGUCAGCUCGUGCCGUGAGGUGUUGGGUUAAGUCCCGCAACGAGCGCAACCCUUAUCCCAUGUUAAAUUCUCAUGGGAGACUGCCUUGUACAGCAAGGAGGAAGGAAAGGUUGAGGUCAAGUCAGCAUGGCCUUUAUGUCCUGGGCUACACACACGCUACAAUGGACGAUACAGAGGGUUGCCAAGGAGCGAUCCGGAGCUAAUCCCAGAAAAUCGUCCCCAGUUCGGAUUGUAGGCUGAAAUCGCCUGCAUGAAGUCGGAGUUGCUAGUAACCGCAGGUCAGCUAUACUGCGGUGAAUACGUUCUCGGACCU
rnacentral:rRNA from 1 species